UCGAGUGGCACAGCAGAUUCUGUUGUAUUGGAUGGAGGAGCAGCCCAUGCCAUCCAAUAGUUGCUUGCUACUUGCAAUACUUGGAAGCAUGUUUGUGAAAGGAUUAUUAUUGGAACCAAGGCGCCUCCUCGUACAGUAGUCAGCAAUUGAUGUGGAUGAUUUGCUUGAGGUUUCAGCAUUGGAUACUAGUUGGAGGGCUUCGCUGUGAGCUCCAACUAAUGCCUCAAAUUCUAUGUUCUGUCGCAGAAGUUCAUCAUACUUUCCAACUUGGGAAAUUCUUCCAUUCUUCAUUACCUGUUAUAUUAAAUAAUUGCAGUUGCAAUUAGCUGGUGGGUGUAACUGAUUGUGGCUGUUAUAAUUCUCUGCCCAAUGAGUACUUUUUUUUUUCUUUUUCUAAAUUUUCUAUUUUCAUUUUAAUGUACAACAAAAAAACUAUUGAGGUUAUAGCAUAAUCACAAGUUAAGCUAGUUUUUGCUUACCA